rnacentral:tRNA from 2 species
GGAUUAGCUCAGCUGGGAGAGCAUCUGCCUUACAAGCAGAGGGUCGGCGGUUCGAUCCCGUCAUCCUCCACCA